AAAUUGAAGAGUUUGAUCAUGGCUCAGAUUGAACGCUGGCGGCAGGCCUAACACAUGCAAGUCGAACGGUAACAGGAAGCAGCUUGCUGCUUCGCUGACAAGUGGCGGACGGGUGAGUAAUGUCUGGGAAACUGCCUGAUGGAGGGGGAUAACUACUGGAAACGGUGGCUAAUACCGCAUGACGUCGCAAGACCAAAGAGGGGGACCUUCGGGCCUCUUGCCAUCAGAUGUGCCCAGAUGGGAUUAGCUUGUUGGUGAGGUAACGGCUCACCAAGGCGACGAUCCCUAGCUGGUCUGAGAGGAUGACCAGCCACACUGGAACUGAGACACGGUCCAGACUCCUACGGGAGGCAGCAGUGGGGAAUAUUGCACAAUGGGCGCAAGCCUGAUGCAGCCAUGCCGCGUGUAUGAAGAAGGCCUUCGGGUUGUAAAGUACUUUCAGCGGGGAGGAAGGUGUUGUGGUUAAUAACCACAGCAAUUGACGUUACCCGCAGAAGAAGCACCGGCUAACUCCGUGCCAGCAGCCGCGGUAAUACGGAGGGUGCAAGCGUUAAUCGGAAUUACUGGGCGUAAAGCGCACGCAGGCGGUCUGUCAAGUCGGAUGUGAAAUCCCCGGGCUCAACCUGGGAACUGCAUUCGAAACUGGCAGGCUUGAGUCUUGUAGAGGGGGGUAGAAUUCCAGGUGUAGCGGUGAAAUGCGUAGAGAUCUGGAGGAAUACCGGUGGCGAAGGCGGCCCCCUGGACAAAGACUGACGCUCAGGUGCGAAAGCGUGGGGAGCAAACAGGAUUAGAUACCCUGGUAGUCCACGCCGUAAACGAUGUCUACUUGGAGGUUGUGCCCUUGAGGCGUGGCUUCCGGAGCUAACGCGUUAAGUAGACCGCCUGGGGAGUACGGCCGCAAGGUUAAAACUCAAAUGAAUUGACGGGGGCCCGCACAAGCGGUGGAGCAUGUGGUUUAAUUCGAUGCAACGCGAAGAACCUUACCUGGUCUUGACAUCCACGGAAGUUUUCAGAGAUGAGAAUGUGCCUUCGGGAACCGUGAGACAGGUGCUGCAUGGCUGUCGUCAGCUCGUGUUGUGAAAUGUUGGGUUAAGUCCCGCAACGAGCGCAACCCUUAUCCUUUGUUGCCAGCGAUU
rnacentral:rRNA from 1 species